rnacentral:lncRNA from 1 species
AGCUAAGGUCUUGAGUUCAAGUCCUGGUUUACGCAAUUUAUUAAAAAAAUUGCCGGUAGCCCCCCUUUGUGUCCACGUAGAGGCCUCUUGAGUCAUACGUGAGUUUCGCGCGCCGUUGCUCUCUUUCGGUUGCACGUGUUGACUUGUCUUCCCCGUCACACGUGAGAGGGGGUGUUACAGUAUAUGUGGAUUGCACUAGCCCUUUCCAUCAGUUCGGACUUUCGGUUGCGUUGGUUAACUUUUGCACGCCGCAACUCGUGCUGUUGAUCCGCUCCACGCCGCCGCCCUCCUCUCUGGCUCGUUCCCGUCAGGCAGCGGCUCCUCCUCAUCACCUCGUGCCAGCGCCUGCCUCCUGCUCCCGAUCGAAGUCUUCCUCGAUGUCCUUCUCCUUCCCGUUUUGCUGCAGAUCGAAGCCAUCUCCAAACAACUGCUGGUUCCCGUGGGAUAGAAGCACUGCAGGCCCCGCUCCUGAUCGAAGCCGUCUCCAACUGCUGCUGGUUCCCGUGGGAUAGAAGCCCCGCUCCAGAUAGGUUGUUCCCGAUUGAAGCGCUCCAGAUCGAAGACCACGACCUCUCGUGAUCGAAGCGCUCCAGGCCCACCGAAAUCUCCUC